rnacentral:rRNA from 1 species
CAUGCAAGUCGAACGGAAAGGGCUUCGGGGUACUCGAGUGGCGAACGGGUGAGUAACACGUGGGUGAUCUGCCCUGCACUUUGGGAUAAGCCUGGGAAACUGGGUCUAAUACCGGAUAUACCUCAUGGAUUGCAUGGUUUGUGGGGGAAAGCUUUUGCGGUGUGGGAUGGGCCCGCGGCCUAUCAGCUUGUUGGUGAGGUUAUGGCUUACCAAGGCGACGACGGGUAGCCGGCCUGAGAGGGUGACCGGCCACACUGGGACUGAGAUACGGCCCAGACUCCUACGGGAGGCAGCAGUGGGGAAUAUUGCACAAUGGGCGCAAGCCUGAUGCAGCGACGCCGCGUGAGGGAUGACGGCCUUCGGGUUGUAAACCUCUUUCAGCAGGGACGAAGCGCAAGUGACGGUACCUGUAGAAGAAGGACCGGCCAACUACGUGCCAGCAGCCGCGGUAAUACGUAGGGUCCGAGCGUUGUCCGGAAUUACUGGGCGUAAAGAGCUCGUAGGUGGUUUGUCGCGUUGUUCGUGAAAACUCACA